CUCAACAACGCCCUCCUCUUCCUCGUUCUCAUCUCGCCCGGGCCCGUCGAAGGAACCUGUACGGCGGCUGAGCAGCGCAGGAAGGGCAAGGGGCACCGGCGCGUCGAUUUCGUGCCCCUCAGGUUGGUUCUCUUCCACCGUCGGCUUCGGCUCGCCGCCACAGCGGGGAAAGGAGUGGCAGAGACGGUGUCCCCUUCGACCGAUGGAUCCCUUCGCCCCGCGGGAUAUGCCCGCGUCGAAGGGUUGGACGCAAGCAGUGGGGAGCAACAGGGGCGGCGCCUGUCGAACCGAGCUAGAAGUUACGAUGCGCGAAGCGCGAUAUCCUAUCGCGCCGCUGCAGCCAGCACCCGCCGCCGGCUCCUCCCUCCCCACCAUCCGGGUCGCCUCGCCGGUAUCUCGGUCCUCAUCGGUGCAGGUCACCUUGUCGGCACCUACGUCCUCACCAACCCAGCAUGAGUUCGGCGUGUACAGGGAAGAGGUUGCGAGAAGAUUGGUUCAAAUCUUGGUGAAGACUAAGGUAGUUGUAAUGUGGAUACAGGAAAAAUGCUUAGACAAUGUCAAGCAGGUCCAAAUGAUGUUCAAACUGGAGACCUUCUUCUAACCGUUAAGAAUGCAAAGUAUUCGGCACGCUUAUUUAUUUAUUUAUUUAUUUUACCGAGCAUGGUUGUUUUGAAACUAAUAUGGUGCUUUUUGGGCAUUGUUGAUGUUGGAGAAAGCGGUGGUACUAUAGUGGACGAUGUUGCAUCCUUUAUGCAGAAGUGUGUGGCCGCGAGGAGGAGCAAUAUAUGAAAAGGAAACUGUGUUGUCACGGAGUUGUAAAUAUUGGCGCAGCUUCAUUGGUGGCUCAUGGCCCUUUGUAAGUUCAGGCAAUGCUACUACUCCAUGACCAGUUCAAUAUUUAGCUCCUGGCCCUUUGUAAGUUCACGCAUUGCUACUACUCAUUGAACAGUUCAGUAUUUUACUCCAUGACUUGUGUUUACAUGUACAUGGGUUGUGGUGCCCAGCAUAUGAAUUAGUCCCCAACCAAGGUAUUUUACUUAUUCCCAUUUUUAAUUCGUUGGUUUGGACAGUUCUUGCCAUCUGGAAUCCUGUGUCAGAGCAACUGCUUCAGCUAAGGUAAUUGCUUUCUCCUCUUUAAGAAGCAAGAAAGUUUUAUAUUCAGUCUUCGUUCCCACUGGGUUCCCUGUCCUGCAUUUGCAUGUGAUAGAUUAAAUUUCUACAUGCUUGUUAAUUUUUAGGCCUGAUGUUAGUCCAUCUGCGUAGGUUCUUUUUAUUCUAUUUGGGACAUUGUGUGCUUCCUCUGUGUUUAUUAAUUGUUCAGCUCUACCUCUUAUUUAUUCGGUAGUGUGACUUGUAUGUGUACCAAAGUUAUGUAGAUAAAGGAAUUUAUCUCAUCCCUUUAGGUAUUCACACGUGACUGAAUAACAAUUCUUGCGCUUAUGCUCAGUAGUUGGAUAUGCUUAGGUCUGCAUCACAAACUGUGUAGAGCCUUCUUCGAAUAUGUAUAUAUUUUGUUAGUUCGUUGGUUUGUCAGUUCCUUCAAAGCAAAUGGUUUGAAAGAAUUACUUAUGUAACCUCGUUUAGUUUCUAUUCACAUGAUGGUGCUUGUAACACUUUGGUUGUCCAUGUUAAUGCUGCCGUUUGUUGGUUGUUGCUGCCAUUUGUUUAAAUUUAUGAUGUUGUCAUUGGCAUUAUUUACUUCAGCUAGGAGGCUAAUGUAACUUCAUAACCAGUUGUGUCUUUGUGCAGUCUAGCAAGGCUGCAUUGAUUGUCUGCGAUCAUACAAUUAUAAGUUCAAUUUUCAGAGGCAAACUCAUAAGUAAGAAGGUAUGAGCUAUAUUUGCUUAUGUAAAUGUUCAUAUAUUUUGCUCACACCAUUGGCGUUAGAGGUCUUGAUGAGGAGGUUAAGCAAUGAUGAUAUAAAUCGAGAAUAAGCGAAGCUAGCAGCGUAAUGUUUCAGAUUUAUUUUUCAGUAGGGAGGAUGUCAUGUGCUUUUGGGUUCAGACUUGUGUUCUGUUGGAGGCUAAAGCGUGGUGGACUCAAUUUUCCUACCCUGUGCUAUCAUCCCACUGAAACUUUUCCUCCUCAGAGUACUUGUUCUACAUAGUGAUAUCUACUCUACCAUGACAUGAUAUCAGGAUAUGUCAAGAGGCUCUAUUGUGCUAUUUUUCUUUUCCGAAAUGAAAAAUUUGUUUGUGUUUAGUUUGGACCUUCAUGUACAAACAUAGCGUUUCCAAGCCAAUUAGUUACCUCAUUCCUUUGUCAAUGUCAAAUUACAGGGCACUUUUAAUAGUGUGUUACAGAAAAAAUGUUGCUUCUAGCCCAAUUUAGAUUGCUGUUAUAAUUAUCAUCUAUGCCUGGAUGUCCUAUUUGGAGUGAUUACGCUGAACCAUGUGGGGCUCGGGAUAAAAUAAUCAUUCAGUAACAAAGGAAUGAUUCAUGGAUGAUAAAGACAAUUGUAGUUUUGCUACUUUUUUCUGUUUACCACAACUUUAGAUUUUUAGCGUUUUCACGGGUUACUCGAUACAUACACCACCCUGGGUGCUACAAUUGUAGUUAUUAGGAUUAUGUAAAGUUUCCUUGUGAAUCUAUUGUGUAAGCGCCUUACAGUUUCUUGCAUUUUAUGAGAUUUCAUUAUGGAACUUAACAUAGAACCUGCUGCCAUUAACUAGGAUCGCUUCUUCUUCAGUGAAUCCCUUUUAUGGAACUGCAUAUAACCAAAUCUUAAUAACUUCAAUAGGUAACUUUCUUAUAUUUCAAUGAGAAGUAAGUUUGAUAAUUGCCUAUUUUAAUUGUAAUACCUGCCGUAUUAUUCUCUGGAAUUUAUAGCAUUUAUAUUUUUUUCUGCUUGAGAAGGUUGUAUCGAGAGCUGUACAACUCUACUGAGAUAUUUGAUGUAUGUUAAAUCGGAAGUGCUGCUAUCCAUGUGCAAGACACUCAUACAUUUUGGUUUCCCUGGUGAUGUGCUUCAUCGACCACUGCUACGAGAGGCCUAUUUGAUUAGGAUUACAACA